GCGGAUCGCAAGGGGAAAAGACCCCGGAAGUACGCCAAAGUAUAAAACCUCAGGUUAAAAGGUCAAAACUAGUACUUGUCCUUCAAGUCGCCCACUUGGCCCUCUUCCAGAUCAUAUGAAGUGUGCGUAUGGUACCUAUUGGAGCUAUCUUGAGCCCAUAUAAAGAGUAAGCUUUAGAAUGACGGCGACUCACAGAGAAAGCUAAGAAUCAUCAGAAAAUGAAAAUCGAUGUCUCUGAAGUCUCUCUUCAGCCAGGAGGCUUUUCCUAUUGAAGCACUCUGGGGCACAUUGAUUUCUCCUAUGUUUUAACUUCAAACAUGGCAUCAUCUGAAACCUAUAUUUUGGAUACGGCACUGUGUGCUAAUGGGCUGCCCACUCCUUCCUGAAACUACAAACUUGGAGGUCAUGUGUUGAGAUGGCAAGAACAAGAUGGAGGCAACUUGGAUCCUAGAGGAACAAGAUUGAGGAGAAUGUGCCCCUUUCCUCCUACCAGCCCAUGUUUAAUUGGGCAUAAAAAAAGAAAUAUGGAUGGAGACCACAUGAAAAUUGAAGGCAAGAGGAUGUAUGGUGUCUUCAAGAAUACCAAAGAAAUCGGUUUUGAUGUUCAACGUUUCAUGCAAGUUCAAAAAACUUGAUUCUGGUAGCAAAAUUAUAGCAGGAAGAGGAAGCAGGACACCAGAGGCUUUUCUUUUCAUGGUGAGUGUCAAACUGAAGCAUAGCCAUCCGUACUUUUUAAUGGAAUGAACAAGCUGUGCUCUCUAAAAACCAGAAUAACUAUUAAUAUCAUCAUCAGCUAUGGAAAUACAGUGGCAGAAUGUGUUAUGUCCCUAGCAACAAUCCUUUUUCUCCUCAGAACUCACCUUGCUUACAUCAUUUCUCACCUUAAGAAAUCAAUUAAUUCGAAGACUUCCUCCACCUAUCCCACUCUAAGACUUAAGAGUCUAAGAGAUAAACAAUACAAUUUGUUCUCUCAUUUUCUCUACAGAGACCUCCUAUUCAGAAUUGGGUUUGGGCUCUGCCUUGCCUCAGGAAGUUAAUAAAAUUCACUUUUCAUGUAAUCUGA
rnacentral:lncRNA from 1 species